rnacentral:rRNA from 1 species
GACGAACGCUGGCGGCAGGCCUAACACAUGCAAGUCGAGCGGACCUUUCGGGGUCAGCGGCGGACGGGUGAGUAACGCGUGGGAAUAUGCCCUUCUCUACGGAAUAGUCCUGGGAAACUGGGGGUAAUACCGUAUACGCCCUUUGGGGGAAAGAUUUAUCGGGGAAGGAUUAGCCCGCGUUGGAUUAGGUAGUUGGUGGGGUAAUGGCCUACCAAGCCGACGAUCCAUAGCUGGUUUGAGAGGAUGAUCAGCCACACUGGGACUGAGACACGGCCCAGACUCCUACGGGAGGCAGCAGUGGGGAAUCUUAGACAAUGGGGGCAACCCUGAUCUAGCCAUGCCGCGUGAGUGAUGAAGGCCUUAGGGUUGUAAAGUUCUUUCAGCUGGGAAGAUAAUGACGGUACCAGCAGAAGAAGCCCCGGCUAACUCCGUG